UACGUAGGGUGCAAGCGUUGUCCGGAAUUAUUGGGCGUAAAGAGCUCGUAGGCGGUCUGUUGCGUCGGCUGUGAAAACCCGUGGCUCAACUCCGGGCCUGCAGCCGAUACGGGCAGACUAGAGUUCGGCAGGGGAGACUGGAAUUCCUGGUGUAGCGGUGAAAUGCGCAGAUAUCAGGAGGAACACCGGUGGCGAAGGCGGGUCUCUGGGCCGAUACUGACGCUGAGGAGCGAAAGCGUGGGGAGCGAACAGG
rnacentral:rRNA from 1 species